rnacentral:rRNA from 1 species
AGUGAACGCUGGCGGUAGGCCUAACACAUGCAAGUCGAACGGCAGCACAGUAAGAGCUUGCUCUUACGGGUGGCGAGUGGCGGACGGGUGAGGAAUACAUCGGAAUCUACUUUUUCGUGGGGGAUAACGUAGGGAAACUUACGCUAAUACCGCAUACGACCUACGGGUGAAAGCAGGGGAUCUUCGGACCUUGCGCGAUUGAAUGAGCCGAUGUCGGAUUAGCUAGUUGGCGGGGUAAAGGCCCACCAAGGCGACGAUCCGCAGCUGGUCUGAGAGGAUGAUCAGCCACACUGGAACUGAGACACGGUCCAGACUCCUACGGGAGGCAGCAGUGGGGAAUAUUGGACAAUGGGCGCAAGCCUGAUCCAGCCAUACCGCGUGGGUGAAGAAGGCCUUCGGGUUGUAAAGCCCUUUUGUUGGGAAAGAAAAGCAGCAGGUUAAUACCCCGCUGUUCUGGCGGUACCCAAAGAAUAAGCACCGGCUAACUUCGUG